rnacentral:rRNA from 1 species
GACGAACGCUGGCGGCGUGCCUAGUACAUGCAAGUAGAACGCUGAAGAGAGGAGCUUGCUCUUCUUGGGUGAGUUGCGAACGGGUGAGUAACGCGUAGGUAACCUGCCUUGUAGCGGGGGAUAACUAUUGGAAACGAUAGCUAAUACCGCAUAACAAUGGAUGACACAUGUCAUUUAUUUGAAAGGGGCAAUUGCUCCACUACAAGAUGGACCUGCGUUGUGUUAGGUAGUAGGUGAGGUAAUGGCUCACCUAGGCGACGAUACAUAGCCGACCUGGGGGGGUGAUCGGCCCCACUUGGACUGAGACACGGCCCAGACCCCUACGGGAGGGAGCAGGAGGGAAUCUUUGGCAAUGGGGGCAACCCUGACCGAACCACGCCGCGUGGGGGAAGGAGGUUUUCGGAUCGGAAAGCUCUGUUGUAAGUCAAGAACGGGUGUGAGAGUGGAAAGUUCACACUGUGACGGUAGCUUAACAGAAAGGGACGGCUAACUACGUG